CAUUAGUACUGCACACUCAAUUCAUCAUCAUCUUCAUCAUUCAAGUUGUACCUUCACUGAGAGGACCUUUGGCUGAUCCUGAACACUUGGCUGUUGCAAACAAGAACAGAGCAAACACCGUACUAAGACGUCUCUGUAGCAGCAGUUUUCAGGCUACUUGGACGACUUGGCUAACAAGGGUUUAAGGAGAAACUCCCAAUGUCAGUCCAAAAUCUGACAAAAAAGCAUAGAUGUGUUUGGAACAGAAAAACUCAGGAAAGAUAUCAUUAAAUCUUUAUACUCUGAUGUUUAGUUCUUUAUCAACAGGAAAGUGCUUCAGCAAGUCCUAAUUUUAUGAUGGAUUUUGUGUGCAGAUUUGCCGUGGGAGCUGCAGCUUGCAGUGGUUUAUGCCACUCAUGAUCUGGCAGCCAGCAACCCCAAAGUCGCUGUAAAGAUUUUGGAAUCAUGGUGGCAAGAGAUCACAAAGCUCAUUCCUCCAGC